GAUGAACGCUGGCGGCGUGCCUAAUACAUGCAAGUCGAGCGAACAGACGAGGAGCUUGCUCAUCUGAUGUUAGCGGCGGACGGGUGAGUAACACGUGGAUAACCUACCUAUAAGACUGGGAUAACUUCGGGAAACCGGAGCUAAUACCGGAUAACAUGUUGAACCGCAUGGUUCAACAGUGAAAGACGGUCUUGCUGUCACUUAUAGAUGGAUCCGCGCCGCAUUAGCUAGUUGGUAAGGUAACGGCUUACCAAGGCAACGAUGCGUAGCCGACCUGAGAGGGUGAUCGGCCACACUGGAACUGAGACACGGUCCAGACUCCUACGGGAGGCAGCAGUAGGGAAUCUUCCGCAAUGGGCGAAAGCCUGACGGAGCAACGCCGCGUGAGUGAAGAAGGUCUUCGGAUCGUAAAACUCUGUUAUUAGGGAAGAACAAAUGUGUAAGUAACUAUGCACGUCUUGACGGUACCUAAUCAGAAAGCCACGGCUAACUACGUG
rnacentral:rRNA from 1 species